AUCGAACGCUGGCGGCAGGCCUAACACAUGCAAGUCGAACGAGUGGCAGACGUGUGAGUAAUGUCUGGGACCCUGCCUGAUGGAGGGGGAUACCUACUGGAAACGGUAGCUAAUACCGCAUACCAUCAGCUGUGCCCAGAUGGGAUUAGCUAGUUGGUGGGGUAACGGCUAACCAAGGCGACGAUCCCUAGCUGGUCUGAGAGGAGGACCAGCCACACUGGAACUGAGACACGGUCCAGACUCCUACGGGAGGCAGCAGUGGGGAAUAUUGCACAAUGGGCGCAAGCCGGACGCAGCCAUGCCGCGUGUAUGAAGAAGGCCUUCGGGUUGUAAAGUACUUUCAGCGGGGAGGCGGUACCCGAAGAGGAAGCACCGGCUAACUCCGUGCCAGCAGCCGCGGUAAUAC
rnacentral:rRNA from 1 species